rnacentral:rRNA from 1 species
GACGAAUGCUGGCGGCGUGCUUAACACAUGCAAGUCGAACGGUGAAGCGCCUUCCUUUUUGGUGGGUGUGGAUGAGUGGCGAACGGGUGAGUAACACGUGAGUAACCUGCCCCCUUCUUCUGGAUAACCGCAUGAAAGUGUGGCUAAUACGGGAUAUUCUGGGUCUGUCGCAUGAUGGGUCUGGGAAAGAUAUUGUUUCGGUGGGGGAUGGGCUCGCGGCCUAUCAGCUUGUUGGUGGGGUGAUGGCCUACCAAGGCGGUGACGGGUAGCCGGCCUGAGAGGGCGGACGGUCACACUGGGACUGAGACACGGCCCAGACUCCUACGGGAGGCAGCAGUGGGGAAUAUUGCACAAUGGGCGCAAGCCUGAUGCAGCGACGCCGCGUGAGGGAUGGAGGCCUUCGGGUUGUGAACCUCUUUCGCCAGUGAAGCAGGCCUGCCUCGUUUGUGGGUGGGUUGACGGUAGCUGGAUAAGAAGCGCCGGCUAACUACGUG